rnacentral:rRNA from 1 species
AAGCGUACACAGUGGAUGCCUAGGUAGUCAGAGGCGACGAAGGACGUGCUAAUCUGCGAAAAGCGUCGGCUAGCUGAUACGAAGCGUUAUUAACCGGCGAUAUCCGAAUGGGGAAACCCGAUACAUUUUUAUUGUAUCAUCAUUAAGUGAAU